UUCGAUACUACUGAGGUUUAUGGCUCAAGGUUGUCUAUGGGUGCAGUUAAUUCAGAAACAUUACUGGAAGAUUCAUCAAGGAAAGGAAAGAGAAAGAUCCAUCAGUAGAGGUAGCUAUUGCAACCAAGUUUGCAGCUCUGCCAUGGAGGUUUGGUC